rnacentral:rRNA from 1 species
GCCCUUGGAGGAAAGUAGGGGAUCGAAAGACCUUGCGCUUAAGGAGCGGCCGAUGUCUGAUUAGCUAGUUGGUGGGGUAAAGGCCUACCAAGGCGACGAUCAGUAGUUGGUCCGAGAGGACGACCAACCACACUGGGACUGAGACACGGCCCAGACUCCUACGGGAGGCAGCAGUGGGGAAUUUUGGACAAUGGGCGCAAGCCUGAUCCAGCCAUGCCGCGUGAGUGAAGAAGGCCUUCGGGUUGUAAAGCUCUUUCAGUUGGGAAGAAACGAUUACAACUAAUAAUUGUAAUUAAUGACGGCACCGACAGAAGAAGCACCGGCUAACUACGUGCCAGCAGCCGCGGUAAUACGUAGGGUGCGAGCGUUAAUCGGAAUUACUGGGCGUAAAGGGUGCGCAGGCGGUUUUGUAAGUCAGAUGUGAAAUCCCCGGGCUUAACCUGGGAAUGGCGUUUGAAACUACAAAGCUAGAAGGGC